rnacentral:rRNA from 1 species
UUGACGGGGACCCGCACAAGCGGUGGAUGAUGUGGUUUAAUUCGAUGCAACGCGAAAAACCUUACCCACCUUUGACAUGUACGGAAUUUGCCAGAGAUGGCUUAGUGCUCGAAAGAGAACCGUAACACAGGUGCCGCAUGGCUGUCGUCAGCUCGUGUCGUGAGAUGUUGGGUUAAGUCCCGCAACGAGCGCAACCCUUGUCAUUAGUUGCUACAUUCAGUUGGGCACUCUAAUGAGACUGCCGGUGACAAACCGGAGGAAGGUGGGGAUGACGUCAAGUCCUCAUGGCCCUUAUAGGUGGGGCUACACACGUCAUACAAUGGCCGGUACAAAGGGUCGCAAACCCGCGAGGGGGAGCCAAUCCAUCAAAGCCGGUCGUAGUCCGGAUCGCAGUCUGCAACUCGACUGCGUGAAGUCGGAAUCGCUAGUAAUCGUGGAUCAGCAUGUCACGG